AUAAGUAAUGUGAAUUGCAGAUUUCAGUGAAUCAUCGAAUCUUUGAACGCACCUUGCACCCUGUGGUAUUCCACAGGGUAUGCCCGUUUGAGUAUCAUUAUAUUAUCAACUGCCAAAAUCUUUAUGUUCUUGGUAGCUUGGUCUUGAGGGUUUUGCA
rnacentral:rRNA from 1 species